GCGGACGUAGUUUAGUGGCUCGAAUACGGCCUUGCCAAGGCUGUGACGGGGGUUCGAUUCCCCUCGUCCGCU
rnacentral:tRNA from 1 species